UGAACGCUAGCGGCAGGCCUAACACAUGCAAGUCGAGGGGUAACAGAGAGAAGCUUGCUUUUCUGCUGACGACCGGCGCACGGGUGCGUAACGCGUAUACAAUCUGCCUUAUACAGAGGGAUAGCCUUUAGAAAUGAAGAUUAAUACCUUAUAGUCUAUUUUUAUAGCAUUAUAUAAAUAGUAAAGCUUCGGUGGUAUAAGAUGAGUAUGCGUCCUAUUAGUUAGUUGGUAAGGUAACGGCUUACCAAGACAACGAUAGGUAGGGGCCCUGAGAGGGGGAUCCCCCACACUGGUACUGAGACACGGACCAGACUCCUACGGGAGGCAGCAGUGAGGAAUAUUGGACAAUGGAGGCAACUCUGAUCCAGCCAUGCCGCGUGCAGGAUGACGGCCCUAUGGGUUGUAAACUGCUUUUAUAUAGGAAGAAACCUUUUCACGUGUGAGAAGCUGACGGUACUAUAAGAAUAAGGACCGGC
rnacentral:rRNA from 1 species